rnacentral:rRNA from 1 species
UAAGGAAUCUUCCACAAUGGGCGAAAGCCUGAUGGAGCAAUGCCGCGUGCAGGAAGACGCUUUUCGGAGUGUAAACUGCUUUUCUGAAGGAAGAUUAUGACGGUACUUCAGGAAUAAGGAUCGGCUAACUACGUGCCAGCAGCCGCGGUAAUACGUAGGAUCCAAGCGUUAUCCGGAAUUACUGGGCGUAAAGCGUGCGCAGACGGUUUGAUAGGUCGAUUGCGAAAUCCCGUGGCUCAACCAUGUGGACUGUAAUCGAAACCAUCUGACUAGAGGUAGGUAGAGGCAAGUGGAAUUUCUGGUGUAGGGGUGACAUCCGUAGAUAUCAGAAGGAACACCAAUGGCGAAGGCAGCUUGCUGGGCCUUACCUGACGUUCAGGCACGAAAGCGUGGGGAGCAAACAGG